rnacentral:rRNA from 1 species
GAUGAACGCUGGCGGCGUGCCUAAUACAUGCAAGUCGAGCGAAUGGAUUAAGAGCUUGCUCUUAUGAAGUUAGCGGCGGACGGGUGAGUAACACGUGGGUAACCUGCCCAUAAGACUGGGAUAACUCCGGGAAACCGGGGCUAAUACCGGAUAACAUUUUGAACCGCAUGGUUCGAAAUUGAAAGGCGGCUUCGGCUGUCACUUAUGGAUGGACCCGCGUCGCAUUAGCUAGUUGGUGAGGUAACGGCCCACCAAGGCAACGAUGCGUAGCCGACCUGAGAGGGUGAUCGGCCACACUGGGACUGAGACACGGCCCAGACUCCUACGGGAGGCAGCGGUAGGGAAUCUUCCGCAAUGGACGAAAGUCUGACGGAGCAACGCCGCGUGAGUGAUGAAGGCUUUCGGGUCGUAAAACUCUGUUGUUAGGGAAGAACAAGUGCUAGUUGAAUAAGCUGGCACCUUGACGGUACCUAACCAGAAAGCCACGGCUAACUACGUGCCAGCAGCCGCCGUAA